CAUAUGAUUGAACAUAUGCCAGGGUGCGGGUUUUGACAUAGUCAAAACCAAUCAUAAUUCAAAGUUACUUAAAUGUAACGACAACACAUAAUGAGCUAUUCAAAUAGCUUCAAGAUAUCUUGGAGAGUUUGAUCCUGGCUCAGGACGAACGCUGGCGGCGUGCUUAACACAUGCAAGUCGAACGGUUGGAGGGGUAACGGCCCACCAAGGCGACGAUCAGUAGCCGGUCUGAGAGGAUGAACGGCCACAUUGGAACUGAGACACGGUCCAGACUCCUACGGGAGGCAGCAGUGGGGAAUCUUCCGCAAUGGGCGAAAGCCUGACGGAGCAACGCCGCGUGAGUGAAGACGGCCUUCGGGUUGUAAAGCUCUGUUAUACGGGACGAAUAGUCUUGUGGUUAAUACCCAUGAGAAGUGACGGUACCGUAAGAGAAAGCCACGGCUAACUACGUGCCAGCAGCCGCGGUAAUACGUAGGUGGCAAGCGUUGUCCCGGUAGUCCUGGCCGUAAACGAUGGGUACUAGGUGUAGGAGGUAUCGACCCCUUCUGUGCCGGAGUUAACGCAAUAAGUACCCCGCCUGGGGAGUACGGCCGCAAGGUUGAAACUCAAAGGAAUUGACGGGGGCCCGCACAAGCGGUGGAGUAUGUGGUUUAAUUCGACGCAACGCGAAGAACCUUACCAAGCCUUGACAUUGAUCGCAAGGAGUAGAGAUACUCUGUUCUUCUUCGGAAGACGAGAAAACAGGUGGUGCACGGCUGUCGUCAGCUCGUGUCGUGAGAUGUUGGGUUAAGUCCCGCAACGAGCGCAACCCCUAUCUUCUGUUACCAGCACGUAAGGGUGGGGACUCAGGAGAGACUGCCGCAGACAAUGCGGAGGAAGGCGGGGAUGACGUCAAGUCAUCAUGCCCCUUAUGGCUUGGGCUACACACGUACUACAAUGGCUCUUAAUAGAGGGAAGCGAAGGAGCGAUCCGGAGCAAACCCCAAAAACAGAGUCUCAGUUCGGAUUGUAGGCUGCAACUCGCCUACAUGAAGCAGGAAUCGCUAGUAAUCGCAGGUCAGCAUACUGCGGUGAAUACGUUCCCGGGCCUUGUACACACCGCCCGUCACACCACGAAAGUCAUUCACACCCGAAGCCGGUGAGGUAACCGCAAGGAGCCAGCCGUCGAAGGUGGGGGCGAUGAUUGGGGUGAAGUCGUAACAAGGUAGCCGUAUCGGAAGGUGCGGCUG
rnacentral:rRNA from 1 species